rnacentral:rRNA from 1 species
UGGGGGCAACCCUGAUCCAGCCAUGCCGCGUGUGUGAAGAAGGCCCUAGGGUUGUAAAGCACUUUCAGUGGGGAGGAAAAGCUGACGGCUAAUACCCGUCGGCCAUGACGCUACCCACAGAAGAAGCACCGGCAAACUCCGUGCCAGCAGCCGCGGUAAUA